GCCGCGGCUGAACGCAAUGCGGCUGCGGAGCGCACCGAGCGAGAGAAACAGGAGGCGCGGGUGGCGGAGGUACAGCAAGAGCUCCAGGAUCUCGUGAAGAAACACGAGAGCCUGGAGCGUGACUCGAAGACUCGAGAGUCUGAGCUUGCAACGGCUCUUGAGAGUGCCAAAGCCGCUAAGGCCGAAGCCUACAAGGCCCUCCAGGAGAUAGAGGUGGUGAAGAAAAUAGCAAGCUCUCCAGGAGCGUUCGCGAAUCUUCCUCGCAGCGUGUCCGAUGCUGCCGCAUUCUAUCGGGCCGAGGAGGGGAGCUCGACGAAGAAGGUCUUCUGGUCUCAGUAUGCUGAGGCCGAACAUCCGGUGCCCCUUAGCGACCAGCUGAAGCAGCUGGUCGAGCUCCACAAGGCGGCCGAACAGGCCAUGAAGGGCCUCAUAGUUCGGCUGUGGCCUAAGGAGGCCAUGCCUGGGAGCUACUUCGGCCUGGUGCGGCGGCUGGUGGAUGCGUGCCCGUGGGUUGAAGUCAUCAAGCACUCCGCCUGUAUUGAAGGUGCCCGUCGGGCCCUUGCCCGCGCAAAGGUGCACUGGGGCAAGAUGGAUGCCCAGAAGCUUGUGACGGACCCACCACCAGAGGGCAAGGAGUAUCGUACGCCCGAGAUGUAUUAUAAGAGUGUGCUGAAGGGCGCCCGCACUAUUGCGAGUGAGUGCUCCAAAGAUGUAAUAUUUGAGUAG
rnacentral:rRNA from 1 species